rnacentral:rRNA from 1 species
GGGUUGUGAGGUUAAGCGACCAAGCGUACACGGUGGAUGCCCUGGCAGUCAGAGGCGAUGAAGGACGUGCUAAUCUGCGAAAAGCGCCGGUAAGGUGAUAUGAACCGUUAUAACCGGCGAUGUCCGAAUGGGGAAACCCAGUGUGACUCGUCACACUAUCAUUAACUGAAUCCAUAGGUUAAUGAGGCGAACCGGGGGAACUGAAACAUCUAAGUACCCCGAGGAAAAGAAAUCAACCGAGAUUCCCCCAGUAGCGGCGAGCGAACGGGGAGGAGCCCAGAGCCUGAAUCAGCAUGUGUGUUAGUGGAAGCGUCUGGAAAGGCGCGCGAUACAGGGUGAGAGCCCCGUACACAAAAGCGCAUAUGCUGUGAGCUCGAUGAGUAGGGCGGGACACGUGGUAUCCUGUCUGAAUAUGGGGGGACCAUCCUCCAAGGCUAAAUACUCCUGACUGACCGAUAGUGAACCAGUACCGUGAGGGAAAGGCGAAAAGAACCCCGGCGAGGGGAGUGAAACAGAACCUGAAACCGUGUACGUACAAGCAGUGGGAGCCUCUCUUUAUGGGGGGUGACUGCGUACCUUUUGUAUAAUGGGUCAGCGACUUAUAUUCUGUAGCAAGGUUAACCGCAUAGGGGAGCCGAAGGGAAACCGAGUCUUAAUUGGGCGUUAAGUUGCAGGGUAUAGACCCGAAACCCGGUGAUCUAGCCAUGGGCAGGUUGAAGGUUGGGUAACACUAACUGGAGGACCGAACCGACUAAUGUUGAAAAAUUAGCGGAUGACCUGUGGCUGGGGGUGAAAGGCCAAUCAAACCGGGAGAUAGCUGGUUCUCCCCGAAAGCUAUUUAGGUAGCGCCUCGUGAAUUCAUCUCCGGGGGUAGAGCACUGUUUCGGCUAGGGGGCCAUCCCGGCUUACCAACCCGAUGCAAACUGCGAAUACCGGAGAAUGUUAUCACGGGAGACACACGGCGGGUGCUAACGUCCGUCGUGAAGAGGGAAACAACCCAGACCGCCAGCUAAGGUCCCAAAGUCAUGGUUAAGUGGGAAACGAUGUGGGAAGGCCCAGACAGCCAGGAUGUUGGCUUAGAAGCAGCCAUCAUUUAAAGAAAGCGUAAUAGCUCACUGGUCGAGUCGGCCCGCGCGGAAGAUGUAACGGGGCUAUACCAUGCACCGAAGCUGCGGCAGCGAACGUAUCACUUAAAACGAUUCAGAAGCUUACGAUUGACGGAGCGAAGCGACGUCAAAGCGUAUACAAAGUCGAGUCGGUUUAAGGAUACGUUCGUUGGGUAGGGGAGCGUUCUG